UACGUAGGGUGCGAGCGUUAAUCGGAAUUACUGGGCGUAAAGCGUGCGCAGGCGGUUUUGUAAGCCAGAUGUGAAAUCCCCGGGCUCAACCUGGGAAUGGCAUUUGGGACUGCAAGGCUGGAGUGCGGCAGAGGAGACUGGAAUUCCUGGUGUAGCAGUGAAAUGCGUAGAUAUCAGGAAGAACACCCGUGGCUAAGGCGGCUCUCUAGUACGGUACUGACGCUGAGACGCGAAAGCGUGGGGAGCGAACAGG
rnacentral:rRNA from 1 species